GCGUAAUAAAGCAGCAGUUCAUUUGAACACUAGCAGACACCCAAUGCAACACUGGAUGUAAGUAAUGUAAGUGGUUCAAGAAGCCGGUAAGUGGAAUGUAGUGUUAUUGAUAAAAGGGGUUUGAUCUUGGAUUAUUUAUGGUGAAGGGAUUAUGGGAUGGGAUGGCGUUAAUUGGGUGAGUAGGAGUAGGUGCUAGGUGAUGGAGAGGUCACACAGGUCAAGUGAUCACAGGUUAAGACCAGGAGUCAAGGGUUACUGUAACAGUUUUCUUGCGGUGAAGGAGAGUCGGACCAAAAUGCAGCGUGGUAUUCUUGAUACAUGUUUAAUGACGAUGAAAAAAUGAACAAUACAAAAACAACAAACGUAACGUAAAGACCUAUACAGCCUAUCUGGUGCAAACAAACACAGAGACAGGAACAAUCACCCACGAAACACUCAAAUAAUAUGGCUGCCUAAAUAUGGUUCCCAAUCAGAGACAACGAUAAACACCUGCCUCUGAUUGAGAACCACUCCAGACAGCCUAACAAAAACCCCAAGACAAAACACACCACAUACAAAACCCAUGUCACACCCUGGCCUGACCAAAUUAAUAAAGAAAACACAAAAUACUAAGACCAGGGCGUGACAGUUACAGGUGAUGUGUUCUCUCACACUCUUGUGACUCAUCUUUAUAUGACCGUGAGAUAGUCAUAGAUAUACUAUACUGUACAUGAUUCAAUUCCAACAGACAGGUAAAGUCACAAACACGUACCAUUUUGCAACGGAUGAGCCGUCUCGCCUUGUUACCCCACACCUUGUUUCAUUGGUUUGUCUCUGGGAGAGGUAAUUUACCUCCCUCACCUGAAAAUCAAACCUCCAAUUCGGCAUACCUUACCAGACACAGACACCUGUUAUCAUUUAUGUCAUUGUUCAAACAAGGACAUACUGAAAAUACAGGGAUUCUCUAGUGUAAAGAAGGCACAACUUGUUCUUUUUUUUUUUUUUUUUUUUUUUUACAGAAAUCCACACAUUAUACUAUCAGUAUGGACGAACAAGGAGUUACAGAAUAUAGAUAUGCCUUCAGUAGCAGGAUUUUCAGAAACACGAACCCCCCUAAAACAUUUAGCCAGUUAUUUUCCAGGCUCCACAUUUUAGCCUUCUAGGACAGCCAUAUGCGUGGAUGUCCACACAUAUGUGUCCUAUAUAGGGCUAUGCUGCAGCCAGCUCAGUCAGUUCCAUACUACAGUUCCUGGGCUCUGUCUGGGACUG
rnacentral:lncRNA from 13 species